GAGAUCACCAAGGGGGAGCGGAGACAGAGUGAAGGGACAGAGCCCAGGGACGGAGGCGGGAUGAGGGGGAGCAGCCGGUAAUGUGCAGAGACCGGGAGAGGGCAGUGUCCAGGUGGAGAGUAUUUCAAGGAAGAGGAUGGUUAACAGCGACCACCGCUGCGGACGGGCCAAGGGAGAUGAGGCUGGGAACCACCCACCGCACUGAGCAUCCUGGGGGCUGCUGGUAACCUUGGUAGGAGCAGAUCUGAUGGUCCUGAACAAGAGCCAAAUAUCUGAAAGUGAGUUAAAGAGAGACGUGGAGGAGAGGCACUGGAGGCGAAAACCCAGAGAAGGCUUCAAGCAGAACGGAAGGGAAGGAGCUGCCAUCUUUCAGAGGACAUGGGCUUUCCAGGGCUCCAGGGUCCCCACCUGGCCACAGUGCUCUUCCAAGCUCCCUGCCAGGCCUCCAUGGGCCCCUCCUUGCACCUUUUUUUCUGUCACAGUCUUCAGGAGGCAUCUCCUGGGACCGACACAUGGAAGCUGGUGAGACCACAUCGCUGGCCACAGAAGUCUCACAUGACUCCGUAAAUUCUCAGAGUGCAAUUCAUUUGAAUGCAGGGGUUCGAGUCCGAAGAAUGUCACCUCUGCCGGAAACACCGUCACUGCCUGUGACAUGACCAGCCCGGGGGGCAGAAGCCCAGCAGGGUGGAGGAGCGGCUUCUCCGGCUUCACAGCUUCCUCCCUUCUCUGCCCUCACACCUCCCACAGCACGCUCCCUUGCAGCCACCUGGUUCCAGGCUUUCUGGAACCUUCUUUCCUCUGACCCUUCUUUCCUCUCCAGUGGAGCUGAAACAGACGGCUUUCUUCAAAAGGCAACUUCUAAGAGUAGGUGGGAAGCCAGAAAGAAAUCAUGAACAAACACAAAAUGUGUGAAGACUGAUGAACAUAUAGAAAGCAGAGUCCCAACCUAGGAAGCAAGAGCUGAUGGUCUCUUAUGAGAUCCAGCCAAAGAGCCCUUUUUAGAUGGUAAAAUUCUGUGAGGACACUAAAACUUCAUUAUUGUCACCAUAUCAUCUUCUAAAGAUGAUCUAGGUCAAAGAAGUCAAAAGGAUAAGGUCAAUCCCAAGGACAGAGAAAAGAAGAGCUCACCCACAUGUGAUUUGGAGUUGCUGGGACUGAGUGUCUCAGAAGCCUCAAGUGGCAUCUGCUCUGCACCCAGAAUUUCUGGAACAUGAUGCCUGAUGCCUGUGCUGGAAGACCCGGAGCCAGUUCAGGGAUGAGAGGCAGCUGCUCGCUGCGGCGCUCACUGCUCCUGCCUCGAUGAAGAAGCCUGUAAGAGCUUGGGGUUCUUUGCUACCCAAGAGGUCAAAAUCAGCUUGUCCCGAGAGGUCUGGGCAUGCCUAGCCGGCAGGGCAUCCAAGACAGAUGCAGCGCUGGCACUGUUAUGGGAAAGGCACGCUCACUUUGUGCCUGAAUGGGUGUUGGUCAAUGCGGGGACCGUGGGCUGUGGGGCUGGAGGUCUCAUCCUCAGAAUGUGCCCAGGGCCUGGGGUUGGAGAGUAGAGUCUGCUCUCAUGUCUUCUCCCUUCCUGCCUGUGAUCCCCAAAGUCCUCAAACAGACUUGUAAGGUGGCCAGGAUGGGACAGCUCAAUCUAUCUUACACCAACGAGCCUAUGGAAGCCAGCAGGUAUCAGAUGACUCUGCCCCGGGCCGUCUGGCACCACUCUGGGCUGCUCAGACCUCCCCAGGAUCCUGCACUCCAUUUAGUUUGGGAACUGCUGAUUCAAACUGACACCCAGCCCAGCCAGGCACUAUUUGGGGAGACCACGGAAUGACGGCCAGGUGGCACACAUGGAGUGAAAACCCUCCUAAUGUUUCUUCCACGCUACCCUCAUUUCCCAAAACCAGGUUCAGUGGAACUGGUUCCCGCAGACACUGUAUUUGUCCUCAUGAUAAUUUGCAUAAUUGCAGCUACCACUUCCUGCCUACUGUGUGCCAAGCACUGUGCCAAGUGUUUGAUACGGAAUAACAAAUCUGAUCUUCCAGGAACUUUAUGAGAUGGGCACUGCUGCAUUUUACAGACGAGGAACUCAGGCGCUGAGAAGUUAGACAACUCACCCAGGAACAUACAGCUGGCAGACGGCAGAGCUGGGCUCGAAGCCCAAGCCAUUUACCUCCAGAGCACAGGCUUGUGAAACCAAGCAGGCGUGUCUCUGCAGGAUUUCUGAGCCUUUCAUGUGCCAGCAGGCAGUGUAAAUUCCCAAGAAGAGGAACAGAUUGUCAUCUACCCCAAACUUAUUUCCCUUAGUUAUCUGAUAGCCACUGACCGCCCACUCUGCCAAUUACUGUGGCUUUGUCAAAGCCCAUCCCUACUCAGUUCCGGGAGAGUGGCUCCCACACACAAGGGCCCUGGCCUGAACCCUCCCUUUUCCCCUCCAGAGACUGUCACUUCAGUCCUUGUUCGCGUCAAUGCCCCUGCCUGAAGUGCCCUCCCCACCAUGGCCUCCUCUCGAGCCCCAGGGGGCACUACUGGAACACUAGGCACAUGGAGCCUUUUGACCCAUCUGGUAUGACCUAGUGCUCCCGGAGAGGCAGAGCGCAUGAGGUUUAGAGUCUGACAGUCCUAACUCCACCACCAGCAGCCUGAGCUGGUCGCCUGCCCCCUCAGUAGAGUUUUCAUUAUGAAACCGGCCUAACACCAACUUUGUAUGGCUGCGGAAACAUUCCCAACUCUGCCUGCAUGGUGCCUGGAACAGAGCAGGAGCUCAAUCCAGAGAGGCUCUUACUAGAGGAGACCCCUCCACACCCUCCUUCAGUAACAGCCUACCCAGCAGCUGGUCACUCAAGGAGGGAAUCAGUAUGGGUUCAUUCCUUAAACAUUUCUUAAACUUCAGUUAGAAAUGGCGGGAUGUGUGUGAGUCCACCAACCUUCCCGAUGGAGAAAAACACAAACACAGGCUGCCUGACCACAUUUUAAAUUCAUGACCCCAAAAUUCAGGUGGGUUCCCAGCACAUGCCUCCUGGCAGCCCUUCUCUGUUCCCUGGUGACAUUCCCUUGCUCACCCACAUGGCUGCUGCCCACCAUCUCCCCUCUCCCUCUACAUCUACCCAUCCUCACUCUCCUCCAGCAACUUCGCUUCCUAUGGCCACACUGAUGGUGGAAUAAGACUCCCACAGUUUGCACCCUGCAUCCCUGCCCAGCUGCCUUCUUCCUUGUAAAGUGGGAUGCCCCCUCCUGAGCCUCAGUCCUCCCACGGGUACCAGGCCCCAUCAUCUUUCAUGAAAUCAAGGCACUCCCCAUUUCCACCCCAGAAGUCUCUAUUCCUGCAUCUGUGUUUGAUUUCUUGCCCUAGCAUGUAUCAUCUGACACGCUAUUUACUUGCUUGCCUGUCUCCACCAACUGGAACAUAAAUUCCGUGGAGUAGGACAUUGUGUCAGUUUUGUUCACUGCUAUAUCCCCUGGCACCUAGAACAGCACCAGGCACAUAACAGCAGGCGUAGGCCCCACAUUCAUGAAUGAAUGAAUGAAUGAAUGGCCAAGAUCCUCACCGCCUUUCUGGACUAAAUCACACCCAUACUGCAUCAUCUGUGACUUCCAGUUUUUGUUCCAAGCGUGGUGAAAACCUAAGACACUUACAAAAGGAAUCAGUACAAAAGCUUCCUAUGCCUUUAUGAUCUCUGCCCUGCAAAUAAUUUUCUCACCCACACCUAGUUGGAUUGCAAUUUUAAAGCAAAUUACUAUAAGCCUUUCUUUUUUUUUUUUUUUUUUGAGGCGGAGUUUUUCUCUUAUUACCCAGACUGGAGUGCAAUGGCACAAUCUCGGCUCACCGCAACCUCCGCCUCCUGGGUUCAAGCAAUUCUCCUGCCUCAGCCUCCCGAGUAGCUGGGACUACAGGCGUGCACCACCAUGCCCAGCUAAUUUUUGUAUUUUAAGUAGAGACGGGGUUUCACCAUGUUGACCAGGAUGGUCUUGAUCUCUUGACCUUGUGAUCCACCUGCCUCGGCCUCCCAAAGUGCUGGGAUUAUAGGCGUGAGCCACCACGCCCGGCCCUACUAAGAGCCUUUCUAAGGAUUCAACUUGUUUUUCAUAAAUAGCUUGGUGGUAUUCAUCGGCUUGUAUAUUUAAUUAGAUUGUGCAAGUAUGAUAAUAAAUACGAGUGGCAUAAACAGGUUUGGGGACAAAUGCGACUGACCUUUGGCACGCCUUUGACUUAGCUGUUGGAAUGGAAGCACACAGGCUCUCCCCGUGAGCAGCAGUCAGGAUUUCCAGAGGCAAUGGAGAGAGUGCAUUAGUAUGGUGGGUUGGUCAAACUGAAGUCAGUUGGGUCCCACCUGUAUGUUUAUUCCACAGUUGGUGUUCCAACAAAAGUUCAGAAGGAUUUCUGGGCCCAUCCCACUCUCCAAGGCCCUGUGCUUUACAAAAUGUCCUUGCAAAUCUUUUUUUUUUUGAGGCAGAGUUUCGUUAUCGUUACCCAGGCUGGAGUGCAAUGGCGCGAUCUCGGCUCACCGCAACCUCCGUCUCCUGGGUUCAGGCAAUUCUCCUGCCUCAGCCUCCUGAGUAGCUGGGAUUACAGGCACACAUCACCGUGCCCAGCUAAUUUUUUGUAUUUUUAGUAGAGACGGGGUUUCACCAUGUUGACCAGGAUGGUCUCAAUCUCUUGACCUCGUGAUCCACCCGCCUCGGCCUCCCAAAGUGCUGGGAUUACAGGUUUGAGCCACCGCGCGGGGCCCACAAAUCUGAAUUCUCUGUUCUUCCUUAGGCAAUGGUGAAUAGGCCGGACUUGAGCGGCGGAGACCUCUGUGUUUGCUUCGAGUGCUCGUGUUUGUUACCCUUUGAUCCGCCUGCCUGGAUCACAUUACCCAGCAGCUCUGACUCAUGAGGGUGGUGGAGGAAUCUCCAAGGCAAGCGAUACUGUGUUGCAGAUCCAGUUUUUGGAACAGCUUUGUUCAACGCAGCCCAUUCAAAGCAUAUGGCACCAAGAAUCCCAUCAGUGUUUAAACCCUAAGAAGAAGAUUCGUUAUAUUGAGCAAAAAUAAGAAAACACGCAAGGAAAGUCAUCCAUUGCUGUGUAUUUUGGGAGGCUUUACCGGAGAAGGACACCUCUGAGGAGAUGUCAAAUGUCAGGAGACAGAAUUCAAGCUUGGAACCACAGAAAGAGUGACUAUUUUCAGGUCCAAAAAUUGGGAAAAAAGAACCUAGAAAUUUGAAGGCAUAUUUGAAGAGUGCUACCCCAUGAAGUUCAGGAUGUUCAGUCAUGGUCAAAGAACUCAAAUCUUUGAUGUAUGCACCAGUGCAGACUGGGAGGGGAAGACCGUAAUUCCACCAAUACCUUUGAAUGAACAAACUGUGCUGUACUGGGCUUCUGGCACACAAUUUUCUGCUGGUCUCCAUGGCUUAUUGAUUGGCUUUCCUUACACUUUUUUUUUUUUGAGACAGGGUUUCACCAUAUUGGCCAGGCUGGUCUUGAACUCCUGACUUCGAGAUCCACCCCACCCCACACCCCGGCCUCCCAAGGAGAUGCGAUUACAGGCCUGAGCCACUGCCCCAGCCUCCUUAUGCAUUCUUAACCUUAAGGACUAUGCCCUGAGGCAGUAACACUGAUUCUAAUUAGCUAUCACCAGCCUUUUCUUUUGACUUGAUUUUAAUGGAUCAUUUACCUAUGGAUGGGACAUUCUCUAAUCAAUCACCAGCAGUUAAUUGCCCCAAGAUUCCCAUUUUAAACCAAGAGGUCAUGAGUUCAGGUCAGAUAAGUAGGUCACUGAGGCAGAGUGCUAGCUUUGGCUCUAUUAUCCUUCAAGAUUUCUUUUUCUUCCACAAAUACUGAGUUCUGGCCACAUGCUCAGGGCUACAGCUGGGUGCAGGUGAAUGCACACAUGCAGGACACUGUGCUGGUGAAUCUCCAGCUCCCUCUUACCUACGACACUCGCCCCUGCACUGCCCCGACUCAUCAUCUGUCAUUAGGUUGUUAUAAGAAUUAAAGACCAGCACUUUGGGAGGCCGAGGUGGGUAGAUCACGAGGUCAAGAGAUCGAGACCAUCCUGGUCAACAAGGUGAAACCCCAUCUCUACUAAAAAUACAAAAAUUAGCUGGGCAUGAGCCGAGAUCGUGCCAUUGCACUCCAGUCUGGGUAACAACAGCGAAACUCCUUUUCAAAAAAAAAAAAAGAA